CAUGUACUCCCUUCGUCCUAAAAUUCUUGUCUUAGAUUUGUCUAGAUACGGAUGUAUCUAAUACUAAAACGUGACUUGAUACAUCCAUAUUUAGAAAAAAUUGAGGCAAGAAUUUUGGGACGGAGGGAGUAUUAU
rfam:Triticum aestivum genome assembly, contig: Triticum_aestivum_CS42_TGACv1_scaffold_131121_2BL